rnacentral:rRNA from 1 species
GACGAACGCUGGCGGCGUGCUUAACACAUGCAAGUCGAACGGAAAGGCCCUGCUUUUGUGGGGUGCUCGAGUGGCGAACGGGUGAGUAACACGUGAGUAACCUGCCCUUGACUUUGGGAUAACUUCAGGAAACUGGGGCUAAUACCGGAUAGGAGCUCCUGCUGCAUGGUGGGGGUUGGAAAGUUUCGGCGGUUGGGGAUGGACUCGCGCCUUAUCAGCUUGUUGGUGGGGUAGUGGCUUACCAAGGCUUUGACGGGUAGCCGGCCUGAGAGGGUGACCGGCCACAUUGGGACUGAGAUACGGCCCAGACUCCUACGGGAGGCAGCAGUGGGGAAUAUUGCACAAUGGGCGGAAGCCUGAUGCAGCAACGCCGCGUGCGGGAUGACGGCCUUCGGGUUGUAAACCGCUUUCGCCUGUGACGAAGCGUGAGUGACGGUAAUGGGUAAAGAAGCACCGGCUAACUACGU